CCUACGGGUGGCAGCAGUGAGGAAUAUUGGUCAAUGGGCGUAAGCCUGAACCAGCCAAGCCGCGUGAGGGAUGACGGUUCUAUGGAUUGUAAACCUCUUUUAUAAGGGAAUAAAAUCCGGGACGUGUCCCAUUUUGUAUGUACCCUAAGAAUAAGGAUCGGCUAACUCCGUGCCAGCAGCCGCGGUAAUACGGAGGAUCCGAGCGUUAUCCGGAUUUAUUGGGUUUAAAGGGUGCGUAGGCGGCCUUUUAAGUCAGCGGUGAAAUUUCGGGGGUCAACCCGAGAAUUGCCGUUGAAACUGGGGGGCUUGAGUGGGCGUGAGGGAGGCGGAAUGCGUGGUGUAGCGGUGAAAUGCAUAGAUAUCACGCAGAACUCCGAUUGCGAAGGCAGCCUACCGGGCCAUGACUGACGCUGAGGCACGAAAGCGUGGGGAUCGAACAGGAUUAGAUACCCUUGUAGUC
rnacentral:rRNA from 1 species